rnacentral:sRNA from 1 species
GCCAGGUGUUGUGGCACAAACUUGUAGUCCCAGCUUCUUGAGAGGCUGAGGCAGGAGGACUGCUUGAGCACAGGGGUUUAAGCACAGCCUGGGCAACAGAGCAAGACCCUGUCUCAA